UAUGAGAUUACCAUGAACGGACGUAUAUUUCAAUGCCAAUUCUCUCGAGGGAACCUAUCAUUUAACGCGAUCGUCCCGGUGACAAUGCAGAAAGCCGAGACACCGCGCUUUCAGCAGAAGUACAACGCGAUCGCGCUUAAUUCGCUGACAUCCGAUCUAUUUUUUCCUGUCGUCGCGCCGGGAACGAUCGCGCCCGAGGAUCGAUGCCAGCCGCGAUUUCGCUCACUUUUCGGAUACACCGGCUACAAUCGAAUCGGAGGAUGCCUUCCGUCGUCGAGUCUUCAAUGAAAACUCCUCUACGUCCUCCUCCUAACGAGCGAGAUCGGUUCUUUGAAUAAUCCUCGAUAAUUCUCUGCAGAUUCGACGGUGCCACGAAGAACCGAAGGUAACGCCGGUCUUCGAGGAUCCUUUUCGCAGGAUUAGGAGACCGAUCCUGCGCGGUCACUCACCAGUAAAAUAUACGGUCCGAGUGGAGAUGGAAAUCGAGCAGAAUCUCCUUGAACCGGGUCCACAUGGAGUCCCAAGCACCGGUGGAUGCGUUUCCUCCUCGUUGCGCUUCCAUCGUCGGCGUGCGACGCUCAGGUCGUUCCGCGGCCAAAUGUCCACUGGGAGCGUUACUAAGCACACGGCCGGAGUGCGGCAGCAUGCAUGUGACCAACGGUGGAAGUAAUCUGCCACAAUUAUAUAACGUUCGCUCCGGAGGUUCGGUUGCAGGGCCGCCGCAAUGCUGAUGGCACCGGGAGGAUGAGGAGGAGCGUGCUCCGUGGAUCACCCCUCCUAUUGUCUUCUUCCAGCAGGGUCAAUCGGUGCGCGAGUCGGACGAUCCGCAGGGCUUUUCGAUGCACUCGGUUGCACUCGGAGGAGCCUCGAUUUCCUGGAAGGAUCUUCGAGGUCGGAGUAUCUUAAUUACGAUAUGGGGAUACAGGUGCUUUAAUGCUUUCUGCUACGGAAUCAAAACCCUCAUGUACUUGAAACUAUUUUUUUAAUGGUUGCUUCACUAUUUUUCUUAUCUUAUAUAUCCAACAAAAUUCGGUUUGUUCGAUACAUCAGAAAAAUUUGUCCAAGUUUCUGGAAAAAAAUAAUGUCAGCCGAAUUUGACAGUGUUCGACAAUCGUGCAGUAUCUCUGUAUGUUCUCCGAUGGUAAUCAUCCGGCGAGAAAAAGAACCGCGUCUAACGUGUCUCUUCGAUCGGAAACCUUUCUUUCCUGUUCCUUUUUGCGGACACGGCACUCGAUGACGAUCUGUUAUUUAUCGUUUCCUCUCGUGCGAUAAAACGCAUUUUCGUCACAUCGUUAAUGUACUUCAUUAGAUACCAGGUUUCAAGAUCGACGUGCAAGGGUUGAAAAGGUUUUGAAAAUGUCCCCGCGAAUUCCUCGGGGUGAUCGAAGGAUCGGAAUCAGUCACCGGAGCGAUUUCGAGCAGGUAACGAUCGCGCGGAACCGGCUCCGCGAUCCAGGGGAAGGUAGGGAGCACUCGAAGCGAAUGCCUUUCUCAUCAUCCGUGGAUCUUCAGUAUUCCUGGUUCCAGUCGGACCGAUGGACGGUCCUCUCUUCCGUGUCGUUCAUCGUUGAUUCGUGCACGUUAAAUCGCGAUUAAAUCGCGUGCUGGACAUCGGUGCUCGAUCCACUUCAGGGAAGACACCUGGAAAGCCAUGAGGCCCGCGACGGCGUUGCUGCUCCUCGCGGUGGGGUUGUCGAACGGUCAAUUGAACUUCGAGGGUAACCCGCUGACGGAGAACACCGAGUACACCGCCGAGGAGUCGCGUUUUUCCCAGAGAACCGCAAGGCAGCAAGAAACCGCGUCGAACCUGACGACGAUCGUUCCGGAGCUCCGCUCGCAGAAGCUGUACCCGAUCCUCGAUGCGAAGAACGCGUCGACGAACCUGGAAGCAAAAAGUCCCAUCACCGACUAUUCGAGCGGUCAGACCGACCUAGAGUACCCGUGGCAGCCGCAGACCAUCACCGAUCAGCCGGAGGUGGUUCAAACGUCUCGCCAACUGUCCUCCAGCGCGUACAAUCACGGAAGCGACACUGCCAGCCCGGUGCAGGCGGCCUUGAACACGUUCCUGAACUCCAAGACUCCGGAGGAGUCUCGCCUGUCCUUGGACAGCUACCUGCAGAACGCGGUGGCUCCUCAGAGCGGCCUCUCCCAGGAGGAACCCGGCCAGCAAACGGUGCCGCCGGCGAGUCAGCAGCAAUUAGCGCGGCAGACGUUGCCGAUGGCUUCCCAGGUUAAUCAGCAACCCGCCGGGCUGUCUUCUCCGGUUAAUCAACACCUGACGGCGCAACUUAUGCAACAACGCCAGUCGCUGUACGGGUUUCCCGUUAGCCAGAGGCAGCAGUUCAACGACGCGGUCUACAAUGGCCUGCCUGCGAACUCGCAGGAUCCUCGUUCACCUGUCGCGGUUGGCACACCUCUGCCGCAACCGGCUCUGCAGAUGCCUUAUCCGCAGAUACAGCCGCGGAACGAUAUCUUCUAUCCGCCCGGCUGGCACCAACGCGUGAGAAGAAUACACGGCAGGCCUUUCCCCUACGUCCAGUCCAGGGGAGGACCCGGGUUCUACAAUGGGCCGGCUCCAGGUCCGUUCAAGCCGAAGGUCCCUCCAGUGGAGGUGAUCUACACGAAGCCACCAGGCUACAGCCACGGUCCGCCAGCUUUGAGCAACCCUCCGGUGCCCUACGAGGACGCCAGCGCGUUCUUCCCCGAGGCUGAUCAUCCCCCGAACACCAAGGACGUCUACUACUCUCAGCUGUACGCCCAGUCGUACGACCCCUACUAUUACAACUACAUAGCGAAGACCGGUAAGAUCAAGCCGCACCUUUACGGGAAGUUGGGUAAGUACGAGAACGAAGGCGGGGGCAUCUGGAACGAGCUGUACCGGGGGUUCAAGCAGCACGGCUUGAAGAACAUCAUGACUCCGACGUUCCUGCUGGGGAUGACGCUGCCGGUGGUGACGCUGAUGCUCACCGCGCUCGUCCAGAAGAGGUCCUUCUCGUCCAGAUCGGACUCGAGGGAGUUCUCCAGGGAGGAGACCAUCCAGGAGUACCUGGAGCAGCUGCAGAGGGCCGUCGAGUGCUACGAGAAGAGGAGGAAAAAGAGGGACGCCAGCUACGACGGAUGCUGAAACACUCGAUGUUAAUUUAUCGUGCGACGGAUGACUCUUCGGGGUCGUGAACGAUCAGAGUGCGCGAGAGACACACCUGGAGAGCUCGGCGAGUUCCGGCGGUAUCGGGUGUUGUACAUAUUGCGUGUAACGAUAACGUCGCGUCCGUGGGAUCCCGCGAUUAGUGCCUUUUCAUUCGGACGGAUAUCAUGCAGUGGCUUGUCGCGUGUGACAAAUGAAUCGUUGUACACGCGGUAAACACACACCGGCCGCGAGCCGUCGUCCAUGGGAGAAGGCGACAGUGAAAUGUUUCUACGUGCGGAGCCAACGUUCGCGGGUCAAUUAUCUAUGACCCUGUUCACGUCCACGUGCCGACGGGUGAACAGUCCUUACACCGCGAGCUUCAAUUCACGGCGGCACUGAUGCGACACGCUUUCCUUCGUGGUACUCUUACUUUUUACUAUACACCGCCCUCCGGCGAAGAACCGUUGGAUGCAGAGGGUGCUUGAGUUAACCCUUUGCACUCGGAUGUCUUACUAGAAAUAUUUAAUAUUUCUUUAUGAGGCGAAGAUGUUUGGAGACUAAUUCGAAGGGAAAUCGCCGGUACAUUGAACAAAGCUAUUCCAAUGUUUCACGUAUCGAGGCAUUGUACAAAGUUUAACAUUAAGUAUCACAUUCUAUAGUUUUACUGUGUCAAAUCAAGUGACUUAGUCACCUCUCGAGUGUAAAGGGUUAACAGAAAUAGGUAAUUCGGUCUUUGUCAAUUCCUUGAACGCACUUUGCCAGUAGUGCAAAUGAUGUAGAAACAGUGAACUAAAAAAUGAAAUGCACACGAGAUGCGUGAGAUGCACGUUCCUUCGUCUCUUCCUCCUUUCCGCUGGUAAUGUAGCAUGGAUAACGGUCUUAAUUUCAAGCAAUGUUUUGAUUGCGCAAACACACGGGAAAACGAUGAUCAGCCGGGGACUAGCGGUGUUCGACCUAGAUCCGCGCGUUUUGUAUGUACCGACGAGCCCUGAAUUCCAAAUUAGAAAUGACAUCCGCGAUUCGCUGCAACGCGGCCCGUGCAUCAUGACACAGAAAUGGAUAACCGGUUUAGGCUUACGUAGCGUCAGUGAUUUCAGUCGUUGGGCCUGAUUAAUAACACCGCAACCUGUUUGAGAAACUGGCGCCGUUCCCAUUAUCGACAUUUCGGGGCGAUCCACAUACCGUAAUUUCACCUGUUGUCAUUUUUCUAACGUAAAUGGUACAUCUAGUAACACGCUGCUGCGAACUGGAUGCGAUUAUACUUGUUCUCUUAUUUAAUGGAAAGUAGCGAAGAUUCCUGAGGAUUAAACAACUUAACGCGUUGAGUGCCACUGUACCAUUCCUGAUCCCCUUAUGACCGAGAAAAAUAUGGCAGUGUUUCUUGGCGCAGGAACCGGUCUCCGCGAGGGACGACUUGCACUUCGGGCCACACCAGAAGUCCGCGAGAUUCUCCUUUCACCCGUGCCUGGAAAUUUCGUUUCUCAUUAGACUCGAUUCGACCUUUCAUAGUCCUCCGAUCUAUUCGGUCGAAGAUAUCAAUUAAAAAUCGUAUCGAUCUUGGACUCUCUACGAUGCACAACGGUGUCGGGCAGUAGAAUUGAAAGAGUUUACUUGACAAAUUUACUAAUACCUUCUACGUGGAAGAUAAGACUCAAUGGAAAUGAAGAUUAGCUAAUUAACGCGUUGAAUACACGAUUUCAUAGAGCAAAAUAUUAAAUCAUUCGAUUGAAUUGCAUUAUCAUUGUAUGUUCAUUUAGCUGAAUGGCAGCAUUAUUUAUAAUAUAUAAAUCUUUUCAAAUAAUCAUAGUUUAACUGAGUGAACUAUAGUAAUCACGGUUGAGGGUCACCGGUGACCCACGGCAUUCGACGUGUCAAGAAUUAAUAGAAUUAUUACGCGAGUAUAGGAUAAUAUAACAUCUUGAUGACGCCACCGAGUUUCUACUAAACAGUGUUUUAUACGUAAAACCCUGUUUCUAAAGAAGCUGCACGUGGGAAGAAUACGUAUUCCCAGUGAAACCGUGCGACCCGUCCCAGAUCGAGGGCCGAACAAGUGAAACUACAACGGGGAAUAUGAAACAGAUGAUCGUCAAUGAGGGGAUUUAAAAGAAAGACGCCGACGAAUCAAUCUUUUGAUCCCAAUCAGAACUGGAAACUUGCCGGGAGCGGCGAGGUGACAUUCAAGCGUCCCCCAUGAAUUGAAUUAAGCAACAAGUACCUUUUGAAUCGGCGAGGAACGAUUAAGCGAAACGGAAAGAAUCCACGGACUGAAUGGAAAUAUAAAUUCAUUCCUGACAGGCACACCGGCCAGCUGAUUAUAAUUGAAUUAUCCGAUCGAACGAUUGACGGCUUGAUUCGCGGGGUCAUGGGACCCAGACGCUGCGCGCGGUCCGCCCUAACAAGGAGCGGUUAUUAGUUUCAACUCAGCCUCUUGCGGGUCAUUAAAACGUCUAAGGUAACGUCUGCUCUGCUCGCGUUUCUCUUCGUUCGCCGAUUCAUCGGCACCGAGAGCUUCGGGAUAGGGGAUGACGCCGAAGAACACGUACAGGAGGGUUGCGGCGGGAUUCUCUCUGAAACGUUCACGCACGGUUAAAUGGAACAACGGCGGUCGUUAGCGAAAAAUAUAUCGUGUAUUUCGUUGCUUCUAGUUUCUACAAAUACAACUUGCUACGACAGGCAGAGGGGGCCGAGAAAUCAAGCGCAACGCGUGUUCUUGGCCGGCGCCUUUUGCUACCACUCCUCGCUUCGUCGUUGAAAAGAAAUUGAGUUAUAGAAAGAUUCAACGCUUGCACAGCUUUCGAGGCUUUCGGAACGUUCACGAUCGUUCAGCCUCGAUAGAACUGUAUUUUCAACGUUCGAAUAUUUGAAGAAACUAAAUACCUAGCGAGACUUUGUCUUUACAAUAUGAACCGCAAAUCGGUCAACUCCACUCUUUCAAGUUUCAUCGUCAAACUAUGUAACUGACUUUAGCUUAGGAAAUCAGAUAAAUUUCUUUGAUAGAAGCUGCAAUGAUAAAGAUCGCUUGAAGUAUAUACUAUCUUAUGGGUUUUAAGUAUACUUUCAUUUAAAGAGA